UACGGGGGGAGCAAGCGUUGUUCGGAUUUACUGGGCGUAAAGGGCGCGUAGGCGGUCGUGACAAGUCACUUGUGAAAUCUCCGGGCUUAACUCGGAACGGUCAAGUGAUACUGUCGGACUAGAGUACAGAAGGGGCAACUGGAAUUCUCGGUGUAGCGGUGAAAUGCGUAGAUAUCGAGAGGAACACCUGCGGCGAAGGCGGGUUGCUGGGCUGAUACUGACGCUCAGGCACGAAAGCGUGGGGAGCAAACAGG
rnacentral:rRNA from 1 species